AAACGCGGAGAUCACGAAUGAGAAAGUUGUUUCGCCACAAACGCUGAAGCGAGCGGGAUGGUUUUCUUUCUGUUAUUGCUCACAAGCGAGUUUCUUGUAUAGCAAGCAAGCUUAGGAAGGCUUUGGGAUUUUACUAUUAUUAUUAUUAUGUUCUCUCAUCAUGAGCUGGGAACCAUAGCGAAGAGCUGAUCUGGCAGUGUAACAGAAGGUCUCUGCCAAGAAGUCUGCUUAUAAACUGCUCAGAGACUCCACUGAGUGUCCUGGCUCAAAAACAGUUGUUAGCCAGAUAACCAGAGAAAAGUCCUGAAAUUACCAGUGUUUGAUGAAAUCUAGUGCACCCAUGCUUUGGGACAGCAGUAGAAGGCAGAUCCUUCUUCUUUUCAUCCACUGAUCUGGACCCUGGGUUCUUGUCUGAGUUGCCUCAUAGGAAAGAAAUCAGUCCUACAGAAGCCCUGUGUAGCCUUACAGUUACUUCUGCUUCAGUGGACCUUGUGACUGUAAGUGUCCCUUCUGCAAGACAACAGAAAAUGCUAAGGGAUCUGCUUCAAGGUACAUUACAGAAGCCCAGCCAAGCUGUGAUUUGAUAUUAAUACACUAGAAAUUGUUAGGGACCUGAAGCCUUUUUUCCUGUUAAAGAAAAAUAUUCUUUGGUAUUGGCUUGCAGCAGAUGUGUACCAGCAUACCAGCAGCAAGUUCAGCUUCUUCAGUGGUGUUAUUAAUUAUAAUUCAGUGCUACUGUAAUAACCUGAGUGUUAGAUAGAAAUGUACUUUAGAACAGUUCCAUGCAGUAAAUGUUUGGGAUGGAAAUGGAGAGACUCAAAAUUAAUUAAGUUAUUCAUCACAGUGCCAUAUAUGACAGUGAAAAUUCUCAUCCUGGCCCUCAGCUGGAUGGAUUUUCCAGUUGCUGUUAAAGUGUACUCACCAUCUGCAGAAUGGUAUGCAGUUGCCUCAUUAGAUAAAAUUCUUUGUCUGAACUAUUAAAAAAAAAGGAACUUGCAGAAAAUUCACCACGAAAAGUCAGCCUAUCAAAAUCAAAACACUGAAAGAAAGCAGCUAAUUUCAAUUUAUGUAUUGCUUUUUAAAUAACAGCAAAUAAAAAAAUGUAAAGCACAGUGCCUCCAACAGAGGCAUUCCCUACCUGUGAGUACUUUGCUUUCCUUGGCUUGCAAUGACCUUGUUUCAAAACAUAAUUCAUGUAGAAGUUAAAAAAAAAUUAAAAGAUAAAAUAAAAAUGAAAGAUUUUUUAAAAAUUGCUUUACUUGAGCUGUCUUUUCCUUCACAAUGAAAGAUAAAAAUGAGUUCCCAAAUAAAAGAUUUUCCAUGUAAACAAUCCUGUAAGCCAUUUAGAAAAGGCAGAAAAUAUGUAUUCCUAUACAUGCAUAGGUAAAUAAGUUCCCUUGUAGCAGAACUUUAUUGAGAAACAGUAUUUACACAGCUUUCUUAGGUCAUUGCCUAUUAUGCACUCCUUGUACAUUUAAAAUAAAUAUUUCAAGCAGU
ensembl:lncRNA